AUUGAACGCUCGCGGGAUGCUUUACACAUGCAAGUCGAACGAGUGGCGGACGGGUGAGUAAUCUAUCGGAACGUGCCCCGUAGCUGGGGAUAACUACUCGAAAGAGUGGCUAAUACCGCCUACUCUUGGAGCGGCCCAUAUCGGAUUAGCUAGUUGGUGGGGUAAAGGCUCACCAAGGCCACGAUCCGUAGCUGGUUUGAGAGGACGACAAGCCACACUGGGACUGAGACACGGACCAGACUCCUACGGGAGGCAGCAGUGGGGAAUUUGGGACAAUGGGGGAAACCCUGAUCCAGCCAUACCGCGUGUAUGAGAAGGCCGUCGGGGUGUAAAGUACUUUUGGCAGAGAAGCGGUAUCUGCAGAAUAAGCACCGGCUAACUACGUGCCAGCAGCCGCGGUAAUUC
rnacentral:rRNA from 1 species